AUAACUUUUUCACAAAUUUGUUAGAUUGUCUGGAGUGGUAGGAAUCAGGAGGGUGCUGGCGCAACUGCAGGGGAAGAGGUGGAAAUGGUGAACAGUUUCCUCUCUCGUUGUGCUCUCACAACUAAGUACAUGACCAAAUCUGGUAUGUGAUCCUCCUUUAUUACAUUAAUAAAAAUGUUUUGUUCUUUCAGUUAUUCUUUCAUUAGUCUUUCAUUCUUUAUAUAAAAAUACAGAAGAGAAACCUUUAUUUUAAUUAAAUUUGAGUAGGCCGUCCAGUUACAUUUGACUAUGUUUUCAAAAAGCUCGCAAUGACAUGCUGACUGUACAUGCAAUUGGGUGGAAUAGACGCAAGCAUGAUGGCCUUCAUCUUGCAUUGUCCAACAGAUAUGUCAAGGUAUUAAACAUAUUACACAGAAUUAAUCUGGUCCAAGAUGGCAAAGGCAAUUGUUUGUUUGCAUUUUUAUUGAAGACCGUCCGAAAGGCUGAGGCUGAGUCCCAGAGGCUGGAGAACUUGAGCCGUGAACUUGGGUGUCCUGAGAACAUGGUGCAGCAGUGGGUACAUGACGUCAGACAGUGGGCCACUGAUGAUUCUAUAGAUGCCAGACAGGAUGACCAACAUAUCCUUCAGCGGACGAUAGAGCACAUAUGUCUGGGUGUCUAUCAAAAAAAAGCAAGCCUUUAUAAUCAGACAGGUAUGUUGUUGACUUAUAUAUUGUAUUUACGUGACUUGUGAAUCUCUUGUCUAGAUUUUAUGUUUCUGUCAUGUGUUUGGAAAUUAUAGACAGCAACAAGAUUCGACAAAUGCGGCGACGGAAAUUGGGGGACGAGAAAAGAAAACUCUUUGAAGCAAUCAAACGAUACAAUGAGCAGGUGCCAGAGGAGGAGGGCAUAAAUGAGCAGAUGGUGGAGAGCCGACUCUCUAUGGUGGGCCAUGCCAGUGGGGAGGACAGUCUAAUAUGGCCAUGGGAGGUUCACAGCACUGGUAUGGAACAACUUCUGUGAGGGAGAGGGAUUACAUUGUGCAAACAGAUGUUGACGCAGCUUAAUGGGCAUGUAUGCUAUACAAGUAUAUUGCAG
ensembl:lncRNA